rnacentral:rRNA from 1 species
GACGAACGCUGGCGGCGUGCUUAACACAUGCAAGUCGAACGGAAAGGCCCUGCUUUUGUGGGGUGCUCGAGUGGCGAACGGGUGAGUAACACGUGAGUAACCUGCCCUUGACUUUGGGAUAACUUCAGGAAACUGGGGCUAAUACCGGAUAGGAGCUCCUGCUGCAUGGUGGGGGUUGGAAAGUUUCGGCGGUUGGGGAUGGACUCGCGGCUUAUCAGCUUGUUGGUGGGGUAGUGGCUUACCAAGGCUUUGACGGGUAGCCGGCCUGAGAGGGUGACCGGCCAAUUGGGGAUUGAGAUACGGCCCAGACUCCUACGGGGGGGAGCAGGGGGGAAUAUGGAACAAGGGGCGGAAGCCGGAGGCAGCAACCCCGCGGGCGGGAUGACGGCCUUCGGGUGUUAAACCGCUUUCGCCUGGGACGAAGCGGGAGGGACGGUAAUGGGUAAAGAAGCACCGGCUAACUACGU